rnacentral:rRNA from 1 species
UGGGGAAUAUUGCACAAUGGGCGAAAGCCUGAUGCAGCGACGCCGCGUGCGGGAUGAAGGCCUUCGGGUUGUAAACCGCUUUUGAUUGGGAGCAAGCGAGAGUGAGUGUACCUUUCGAAUAAGCACCGGCUAACUACGUGCCAGCAGCCGCGGUAAUACGUAGGGUGCAAGCGUUAUCCGGAAUUAUUGGGCGUAAAGAGCUCGUAGGCGGUUUGUCGCGUCUGGUGUGAAAGUCCAUCGCUUAACGGUGGAUCUGCGCCGGGUACGGGCAGGCUAGAGUGCGACAGGGGAGACUGGAAUUCCCGGUGUAACGGUGGAAUGUGUAGAUAUCGGGAAGAACACCAAUGGCGAAGGCAGGUCUCUGGGUCGUCACUGACGCUGAGGAGCGAAAGCGUGGGGAGCGAACAGGAUUAGAUACCCUGGUAGUCCACGCCGUAAACGGUGGAUGCUGGAUGUGGGGCCCCAUUCCACGGGUUCCGUGUCGGAGCUAACGCGUUA